rnacentral:rRNA from 1 species
UUAGUGGCGAACGGGUGAGUAAUACGUGAGUAACCUACCUUUAACUCUGGGAUAAGCCUGGGAAACUGGGUCUAAUACCGGAUACGACCAAUCUCCGCAUGGGGUGUUGGUGGAAAGCGUUAUGUAGUGGUUAUAGAUGGGCUCACGGCCUAUCAGCUUGUUGGUGAGGUAACGGCUCACCAAGGCGACGACGGGUGGCCGGCCUGAGAGGGUGACCGGCCACACUGGGACUGAGACACGGCCCAG